GCGGCGUGCUUACCAUGCAAGUCGAACGAUGAUGCCCAGCUUGCUGGGCUGAUUAGUGGCGAACGGGUGAGUAAUACGUGAGUAACCUGCCCUUGACUCUGGGAUAAGCCUGGGAAACUGGGUCUAAUACUGGAUACUACCUUUCAUCGCAUGGUGGGGGGUGGAAAGGGUUUUACUGGUUUUGGAUGGGCUCACGGCCUAUCAGCUUGUUGGUGGGGUAAUGGCUCACCAAGGCGACGACGGGUAGCCGGCCUGAGAGGGUGACCGGCCACACUGGGACUGAGACACGGCCCAGACUCCUACGGGAGGCAGCAGUGGGGAAUAUUGCACAAUGGGCGAAAGCCUGAUGCAGCGACGCCGCGUGAGGGAUGACGGCCUUCGGGUUGUAAACCUCUUUCAGUAGGGAAGAAGCGAAAGUGACGGUACCUGCAGAAGAAGCGCCGGCUAACUACGUGCCAGCAGCCGCGGUAAUACGUAGGGCGCAAGCGUUGUCCGGAAUUAUUGGGCGUAAAGAGCUCGUAGGCGGUUUGUCGCGUCUGCUGUGAAAGCCCGGGGCUCAACCCCGGGUCUGCAGUGGGUACGGGCAGACUAGAGUGCAGUAGGGGAGACUGGAAUUCCUGGUGUAGCGGUGAAAUGCGCAGAUAUCAGGAGGAACACCGAUGGCGAAGGCAGGUCUCUGGGCUGUUACUGACGCUGAGGAGCGAAAGCAUGGGGAGCGAACAGGAUUAGAUACCCUGGUAGUCCAUGCCGUAAACGUUGGGCACUAGGUGUGGGGGACAUUCCACGUUUUCCGCGCCGUAGCUAACGCAUUAAGUGCCCCGCCUGGGGAGUACGGCCGCAAGGCUAAAACUCAAAGGAAUUGACGGGGGCCCGCACAAGCGGCGGAGCAUGCGGAUUAAUUCGAUGCAACGCGAAGAACCUUACCAAGGCUUGACAUUCACCGGACCGCCUCAGAGAUGGGGUUUCCCUUCGGGGCUGGUGGACAGGUGGUGCAUGGUUGUCGUCAGCUCGUGUCGUGAGAUGUUGGGUUAAGUCCCGCAACGAGCGCAACCCUCGUUCUAUGUUGCCAGCACGUGAUGGUGGGGACUCAUAGGAGACUGCCGGGGUCAACUCGGAGGAAGGUGGGGAUGACGUCAAAUCAUCAUGCCCCUUAUGUCUUGGGCUUCACGCAUGCUACAAUGGCCGGUACAAAGGGUUGCGAUACUGUGAGGUGGAGCUAAUCCCAAAAAGCCGGUCUCAGUUCGGAUUGAGGUCUGCAACUCGACCUCAUGAAGUCGGAGUCGCUAGUAAUCGCAGAUCAGCAACGCUGCGGUGAAUACGUUCCCGGGCCUUGUACACACCGCCCGUCAAGUCACGAAAGUUGGUAACACCCGAAGCCGGUGGCCUAACCCCUUGUGGGAGGGAGCCGUCGAAGGUG
rnacentral:rRNA from 1 species